AAGGCCAGGUUGGAUGGGGCCCUGGGCAGCCUGGGCUGCUGUGAAAUGGGGAGGUUGGUGGCUCUGCCUGAGGCAGGGGGUUGGAGCUCCGUGAUCCUUGAGGCCCUUCCAACCCGGCCAUUCUGUGAUUACAAUCCCUACACACAAUUGGAUGAAGAGUUUUUAAAUCAGUAUUUUUCAGAUGUCUGUCCAGUCUGCUUUUAAAAAUGGCAGUGCUGAAGUUCCGAAGCGAUUGUUCCUCUCACUGAUUGAAGGCUUCCCUGCAGGUCGAUGGGGUCACAAUGAGCUUUUUAUUCAUGCUACUUGCUGCAUGGAGCAGGAGGCUUUAAACCCAAAGAGAAAAAAGGGACAGUAUUUGGCCUAUCUUUGUGUUUCUGUCUCUUAUAUGAAGUAUGGAUGUUAAAGGAAGUGCAGUGGGUGUCCUGUGGCAUCUUCAAACAUGAAUUAUUCCACGUCCAGCUGGGCGGCAUCCAUCAGAGCACAGCCCUCAGCCCAGGCUGGUUGUGAUGGUGUGUUGGCAUUCAUAAGGCCAGGAAUCAGUGAAACCUAUUUGUGAGCCACUGCGACAGAUGUUAAGUCUUUUUAAGGAGAGAGCAAAUCUAGAGUUGUGAGGAAUGAAAAAUGCAGCCCUUUCAAACUAAGUUUGCUUUAAUAUUUUUUGGAUUUUGUGGUGCAUUAAAACAGAGCUUCUAGAAGAAACAACACAGGUAUUCCCACCAGAAAAGCCACCCCACUGCUGCCAGACAUUUUUGAUGCUGUUGAGGAUGGUAGAAAUACUUUCAUAUUUUCACUGCAACAAUAACAGAAUCACAGAAUCACAGAACGGCCAGGGUUGGAAGGGACCUCAAGGAUCACGAAGCUCCAACCCCCCUGUGCCAUGCAGGGCCACCAACCUCCCCAUUUCACAGCAGCCCAGGCUGCCCAGGGCCCCAUCCAACCUGGCCUUGAACACCUCCAGGGAUGGACGGGGCAUCACAGCCUCUCUGGGCAGCUGUUCCAGCACCUCACCACUCUCACAGCACACAACUUCCCCUGACAUCCAACCUCCAUCUGCCCUCCCUCAACUCCAAACCAUUUCCCCUUGUCCUGCUGCCAUCUCCCCUUUCCAAGAGCUGACUCCCCUCCUGUCUGCAGGCUCCCUUUAGGCACUGCAGGCUGCACUGAGGUCGCCCCGCAGCUUCUCUUCUCCAUGCUGAACAAGCCCAGCUCCCUCAGCCUGUCUUUGUAGUGGAGGUGCUGCAGCCCCCUGCUCAUCUCUGUGGCUCCUCUGGACCCUCAAUAAAUCAAUGGAAAUUCAAUAUUUGGCAGAAGACUCAUGAAAACAUUUUCUAUUAAAAUUGUUGAACUGCUGCAA